rnacentral:rRNA from 1 species
UACGAAGGGGGCUAGCGUUGCUCGGAAUGACUGGGCGUAAAGGGCUCGUAGGCGGCCAACUAAGUCAGACGUGAAAUCCCUCGGCUUAACCGGGGAACUGCGUCUGAUACUGGAUGGCUUGAGGUUGGGAGAGGGAUGCGGAAUUCCAGGUGUAGCGGUGAAAUGCGUAGAUAUCUGGAGGAACACCGGUGGCGAAGGCGGCAUCCUGGACCAAUUCUGACGCUGAGGAGCGAAAAGCCAGGGGGAGCAAACGGG